rnacentral:rRNA from 1 species
UUGGAGGGCAAGUCUGGUGCCAGCAGCCGCGGUAAUUCCAGCUCCAAUAGCGUAUAUUAAAGUUGUUGCAGUUAAAAAGCUCGUAGUUGAAUUUCGGGAUUGACACAUCGGUCGUGCCUUAAGGGGUAUGAACUGGUGUAGUCAGUUUCUCACCUUCUGGAGAACCGCGAUGUCCUUAAUUGGGUGCCGCGAGGAACCAGGACCUUUACUUUGAAAAAAUUAGAGUGUUUAAAGCAGGCAUUUUGCUUGAAUACAUUAGCAUGGAAUAAUAAAAUAGGACGGAUGGUUCUAUUUUGUUGGUUUCUAGGAUCACCGUAAUGAUUAAUAGGGAUAGUUGGGGGCAUUAGUAUUCAAUUGUCAGAGGUGAAAUUCUUGGAUUUAUUGAAGACUAACUACUGCAAAAGCAUUUGCCAAGGAUGUUUUCAUUAAUCAAGAACGAAAGUUAGGGGAUCGAAGACGAUCAGAUACCGUCGUAGUCUUAACCAUAAACUAUGCCGACUAGGAAUCAGACGAUGUUAAUUUUUUAAUGACUCGUUCGGCGCCUUACGGGAAAC